rnacentral:rRNA from 1 species
UACGUAGGCAGCGAGCGUUGUUCGGAAUUACUGGGCGUAAAGAGUGCGUAGGUGGUUGACUAAGUUUGGUGUGAAAUCUCCCGGCUUAACUGGGAGGGUGCGCCGAAAACUGGUUAGCUAGAGUGUGGGAGAGGAACGUGGAAUUCCUGGUGUAGCGGUGAAAUGCGUAGAUAUCAGGAGGAACACCUGAGGUGUAGACGGCGUUCUGGACCAUUACUGACACUGAGGCACGAAAGCGUGGGUAGCAAACAGG